GACGAACGCUGGCGGCGUGCUUAACACAUGCAAGUCGAACGGAAAGGCCCUUCGGGGUACUCGAGUGGCGAACGGGUGAGUAACACGUGGGUGAUCUGCCCUGCACUUUGGGAUAAGCCUGGGAAACUGGGUCUAAUACCGAAUAGGACCACGCGCUUCAUGGUGUGUGGUGGAAAGCUUUUGCGGUGUGGGAUGGGCCCGCGGCCUAUCAGCUUGUUGGUGGGGUAAUGCCUACCAAGGCGACGACGGGUAGCCGGCCUGAGAGGGUGACCGGCCACACUGGGACUGAGAUACGGCCCAGACUCCUACGGGAGGCAGCAGUGGGGAAUAUUGCACAAUGGGCGCAAGCCUGAUGCAGCGACGCCGCGUGAGGGAUGACGGCCUUCGGGUUGUAAACCUCUUUCAAUAGGGACGAAGCGCAAGUGACGGUACCUAUAGAAGAAGCACCGGCCAACUACGUG
rnacentral:rRNA from 1 species